rnacentral:misc_RNA from 1 species
AACGGAAGUUGAUGAAGUUUGUCAGCGUCCAAAGCGUAAACGAAAAGCAAGGCAAUCAGUUGACAAUCUUGAAAAUGAUAGUGUUAAUGAGACUGUUAAUUUUGAUAUUCAAGAGGUAGUUAAGCAAUCAAAAAAGUCGAAAAUGCAUCCUCAAGCACCAAAUGUACCAACUUUUCCUAUAGAAACUUUAAUAUCUGGGAACAAUAAUGCAUCAAAUGUAAUACUAGAACAUGAAAGUUUUCUGGUUGAUAAAAAUUUAGGAGAAGAUUUUGUAUUGGGUAGUUUUUUAGAAGAGCCAAAAUAAUAAUUUUAUUCCAAAGAUGGUGGCAACAGAUGCUGAACAUUCAACUUUAGAUUCAGGAAUUAUUUUUAAAAACUUUGCUAAACAGACUUUUAAAAUAAUGGCUGAAUUAAAAUCAACCUUGUUGGAAGUCGAAAGUCGGGUUUUUAUCAAUACUCAACAUCUACAAACAUUGACUAAAGGAGGCUUUGAAUCAGCUGAUCAAAUUUUUGAACAACUUGAAUUGCCAAUUAAUAAUGUUAAUGAUUUUCUAGAUUUAAAUUUGAAGCUUCCAGAUAAAGUUGUUGCUGUUUCUUCCUACUUUAAUGGAAGCUGUAAAAUGUAUGAUAAGGAGCAUGUUCCCUAAUUCACUUUUUAGGAAUUUAAAUUGGACAGGACAACCUCCAAAAACAAAGUUUGGGAAUACGAAGUGUCAUGGAGUUAUUACAAAGGUUAUAGCAAGGAUUAUUCCGACACUAAACUGUACUGAAUGUGAUAUUCAAAAAGAAAUUGUUCGUUAUAUACAUGGGUCGAACGAUAGAGAUGGCGGUCGUAAAGAACGAAAAGGAAGAAAAAAACUUCAACGAUUAGUGAUAUUCUCGAGAGUGAAUCAUUUUCAAAUGAAGAA